CCUACGGGAGGCAGCAGUGGGGAAUAUUGCACAAUGGGGGAAACCCUGAUGCAGCGACGCCGCGUGAGUGAAGAAGUAGUUCGGUAUGUAAAGCUCUAUCAGCAGGGAAGAAAAUGACGGUACCUGAUUAAGAAGCCCCGGCUAACUACGUGCCAGCAGCCGCGGUAAUACGUAGGGGGCAAGCGUUAUCCGGAUUUACUGGGUGUAAAGGGAGCGUAGACGGCAGCACCAGUCUGGAGUGAAAUGCCGGGGCUUAAACCCGGAACUGCUUUGGAAACUGUGCAGCUGGAGUGCAGGGGAGGGAAGGGGAAUUCGCGGUGUAGCGGUGAAAUGCGGAGAUAUCAGGAGGAACCCCAGUGGCGAAGGCGGCUUACUGGACUGGAACUGACGUUGAGGCUCGAAAGCGCGGGGAGCAAACAGGAUUAGAUACCCUAGUAGUC
rnacentral:rRNA from 1 species